GACCAACUAAGUUUGUUAUUGGUAUGAGCUUUCGUGUGCAUGCACACUUCUUCAGAUACCAAUAUUUUCGUGCAUGCACACGAAAGCUCAUACCAGUAACAAGGUUAGUUGGUC